rnacentral:lncRNA from 1 species
UUCCCCCAAACCCUCAUUUUUCCCAAAACUCCAUUUUUUAUCCCUAAAACCCCCAUUUUGCUCUCCGACCCCCUAAUUUUCCCUUCCCACCCCCUACCUUUUGCCCCCAACCCCUCCACAAUUCCCCAAUUCUUCCCCCCACCCCCCACCCCCCCACCCCCACAGAAUCCCCCCCCUCCCCCUCAAUUUCACCAAAAUCCCCUUUUUUCUCCCCAAAGACCCCUCGGAGCUCCCCAAAUUCCUCCGCCCGCUCCACGAGGGGACCCUGGUGCUGGUGGCCUCCUUCGACGACCCCGCCACCAAGCUGACGGAGGAGUCGCGGCGGCUGCUGGCCGAGCUGGGCAGCGGGGCCGUGGGGGAUUUGGGGUUCCGCGACAGCUGGGUCUUCGUGGGGGCCAAGGGGGUCCGCGAGAGGAGCCCCUUCGAGCAGGUGGGGGCCUUUUUUUGGGGGGCCUUUUUGGGGGUUUGGGGGGGGGGGCGACGGAGCCCACAAUGACGUUUUUCGGCCCAAAAAUGCAGCACGUGAAGAACAGCCGCGGGGCCAACAAGUACGAGGGGUGGCCGGAGGCGCUGGAGAUGGAGGGGUGCAUCCCCCGCCGGGGGGCUGAGCCCCCCUGAGAGGCUAUGGGGCUGGCCCCACAGCUUGGGGGGCGGCCCCAGAGCUGGCCCUAUAGCGGGGGGGCUGGCCCUAUAGCGAGGGGGUCGGCCCCAUAGCUGGGGGGCAGCCCUAUAGCAGGGGGGGAGCUCCAGCCCCAUAGCAAUGGGGUCAGCCCCAUAGCAGUGGGGUCGGCCCCAUAGCGGGGGGGCAGCCCCAUAGCAGGGGUCUCCAGCCCCAUAGCGGGACCCCCAGCCCCAUAGCAAUGGGGACAGCCCCAUAGUAAGACCCCCCAGCCCCAUAGCGAUGGGGUCAGCCCCAUAGCAGUGGGGUCGGCCCCAUAGCAGGGGGGCAGCCCCAUAGCAGGGGUCUC